CCACUGCAGCCCUCUCCUCCUCCUCCUCCUCCUCCUCCUCCUCCCGCCCUCCUGUCGGUGUUUCAGCUUCACUGCGGAGCCGCUUCGGCCGGUUCAUGUUUCCGUAAAUCUGCCCGGAGAGUCCGCUAACUCUCAAUGCAACAAGACCACCGUAAUCCAAAGCAUCAGCAGAUUAAAGUUCAGUAAUGGUUGGAAACAAAAAGCCUAAAGCAUAUGUUUGGAGAGACAAACGAGGAGCGACGUGGAGUGGCCCACGUUGGAUACACGUGAACAGAAAUCAAAACGCUGCUCGCAACUGGCAGUGCGGAAGAA